rnacentral:rRNA from 1 species
GCAAGCUUGAGUCUCGUAGAGGGGGGUAGAAUUCCAGGUGUAGCGGUGAAAUGCGUAGAGAUCUGGAGGAAUACCGGUGGCGAAGGCGGCCCCCUGGACGAAGACUGACGCUCAGGUGCGAAAGCGUGGGGAGCAAACAGGAUUAGAUACCCUGGUAGUCCACGCCGUAAACGAUGUCGACUUGGAGGUUGUGCCCUUGAGGCGUGGCUUCCGGAGCUAACGCGUUAAGUCGACCGCCUGGGGAGUACGGCCGCAAGGUUAAAACUCAAAUGAAUUGACGGGGGCCCGCACAAGCGGUGGAGCAUGUGGUUUAAUUCGAUGCAACGCGAAGAACCUUACCUGGUCUUGACAUCCACGGAAGUUUUCAGAGAUGAGAAUGUGCCUUCGGGAACCGUGAGACAGGUGCUGCAUGGCUGUCGUCAGCUCGUGUUGUGAAAUGUUGGGUUAAGUCCCGCAACGAGCGCAACCCUUAUCCUUUGUUGCCAGCGGUCCGGCCGGGAACUCAAAGGAGACUGCCAGUGAUAAACUGGAGGAAGGUGGGGACGACGUCAAGUCAUCAUGGCCCUUACGACCAGGGCUACACACGUGCUACAAUGGCGCAUACAAAGAGAAGCGACCUCGCGAGAGCAAGCGGACCUCAUAAAGUGCGUCGUAGUCCGGAUUGGAGUCUGCAACUCGACUCCAUGAAGUCGGAAUCGCUAGUAAUCGUGGAUCAGAAUGCCACGGUGAAUACGUUCCCGGGCCUUGUACACACCGCCCGUCACACCAUGGGAGUGGGUUGCAAAAGAAGUAGGUAGCUUAACCUUCGGGAGGGCGCUUACCACUUUGUGAUUCAUGACUGGGGUGAAGUCGUAACAAGGUAACCGUAGGGGAACCUGCGGUUGGAUCACCUCCUUACCUUAAAGAAGC